ensembl:lncRNA
CUAUAAUAAAAAUAAUUCUGAAGUCAAAAUGAAAGUCACAUGCUGUCCUUGACUCAGAUUUCAGUUAUACAAAGACUGUGUUGCUCACAAAUGAAGCUGUAAACUCUUAGGAAACUGUAGAUAAAAUGGAAGCCAGAGCCCAAAGCAAAACUAAACAACUGCUUAUCAGGUCUCUGCUGAACCCUGUGGCUGGGGAUAGAUGUACUUCUGACAUCAUCUUAUGCAGCCUUGCGUCUUGCUGGUUCCUGAAAUGCAAGUCUGCAAGUUUAAGGGGAUGAAAUUAUUGCAGAUCACUUUUUGUCCUUUUAGAUGUGCCUUCUCUUACAUUUUUUUUCUCUGCUUUUUCCCCCAGCCCUACUUUGUGGUUUUACUGUUAAUCAUCAUCCAGAUGCCCACAUAUUAUACUUUAUUGUUUAUUUUGACUUAUCUCAUUGUUUCCUGAAACUUUUAAAUGUCAUCUCCCUCUUUCCUUCUCUCUACCCACAGGUAACUUCUAUUCCAGUGAAUAUUUAGUAGUGUAUGAAAGAUGUAGACAUAACAUUAACUCAAAUCUGGCCACUUUAGAAAGUUCAAAGAUGUUUUUAUUUCACGUGUUCAGUGAGAAAAGGUUGGGCUAACUAAAGUGGUAAUGUGCUGCAUCAGUUUUCUGGUGAGAAAUGCCUUAUGAGGGUUGUUUGGUUCAACAUAUUUUACCUCACAAAAUAAAUGAGCGUAUGAUUGAUAACAGAGACCAAGCCAGUACUGGCAACUUCUUUACCAAUGUCAUUGCAGUUACUUUCUGAUGUGGGCAUUUGCAUAUCAAAUUAGGAAUUUGUAAAGGUGAAAGUGCCUGUGGAGUACAGUUAAGAUGCUUUUGAACAGGAUUGUUCUGUUGAAUGCUUCCUGAUCUCUCAGACCAUAUAAGUAACUUACAAAUUCCCUUGCACGCUUGGUUUAAUACAGAAUGACCCUGUGAACAGACUGCUGGAAAAACCUGCAGACAAAAGAACCUUCUGAUUUCUCUGUAUUAGUGCUGUAGCCAAGAGGUCAGUAAUGGCUACACUUGCUCUCACUUUUCUGUGAUCCAGUUCUUUGCUGUACAGCUUCUGUUGAGCGUAUGAAAGACAAGGUAAAGAUGUUGGCUUAUUUUGUGACUGUGCUGCUGGCAAGAGG